rnacentral:rRNA from 1 species
AACGCUAGCUACAGGCUUAACACAUGCAAGUCGAGGGGAAACGAUAGAGAAAGCUUGCUUUUUCUAGGCGUCGACCGGCGCACGGGUGAGUAACGCGUAUCCAACCUGCCCACCACUUGGGGAUAACCUUGCGAAAGUAAGACUAAUACCCAAUGACGUCUCUAGAAGACAUCUGAAAGAGAUUAAAGAUUUAUCGGUGAUGGAUGGGGAUGCGUCUGAUUAGCUUGUUGGCGGGGUAACGGCCCACCAAGGCGACGAUCAGUAGGGGUUCUGAGAGGAAGGUCCCCCACAUUGGAACUGAGACACGGUCCAAACUCCUACGGGAGGCAGCAGUGAGGAAUAUUGGUCAAUGGACGAGAGUCUGAACCAGCCAAGUAGCGUGCAGGAUGACGGCCCUAUGGGUUGUAAACUGCUUUUAUAAGGGAAUAAAGUGAGUCUCGUGAGACUUUUUGCAUGUACCUUAUGAAUAAGGACCGGCUAAUUCCGUGCCAGCAGCCGCGGUAAUACGGAAGGUCCGGGCGUUAUCCGGAUUUAUUGGGUUUAAAGGGAGCGUAGGCCGGAGAUUAAGCGUGUUGUGAAAUGUAGACGCUCAACGUCUGCACUGCAGCGCGAACUGGUUUCCUUGAGUACGCACAAAGUGGGCGGAAUUCGUGGUGUAGCGGUGAAAUGCUUAGAUGUCACGAAGAACUCCGAUUG